rnacentral:rRNA from 1 species
GACGAACGCUGGCGGCGUGCUUAACACAUGCAAGUCGAACGGAAAGGCCCUGCUUUUGUGGGGUGCUCGAGUGGCGAACGGGUGAGUAACACGUGAGUAACCUGCCCUUGACUUUGGGAUAACUUCAGGAAACUGGGGCUAAUACCGGAUAGGAGCUCCUGCUGCAUGGUGGGGGUUGGAAAGUUUCGGCGGUUGGGGAUGGACUCGCGGCUUAUCAGCUUGUUGGUGGGGUAGUGGCUUACCAAGGCUUUGACGGGUAGCAGGCCUGAGAGGGUGACCGGCCACAUUGGGACUGAGAUACGGCCCAGACUCCUACGGGAGGCGGCAGUGGGGAAUAUUGCACAAUGGGCGGAAGCCUGAUGCAGCAACGCCGCGUGCGGGAUGACGGCCUUCGGGUUGUAAACCGCUUUCGCCUGUGACGAAGCGUGAGUGACGGUAAUGGGUAAAGAAGCACCGGCUAACUACGUG